GACCGGCGCACGGGUGAGUAACGCGUAUGCAACCUGCCUACAACAGGGGGAUAACCCGGAGAAAUCCGGACUAAUACCGCAUAAAACAGGGGUCCCGCAUGGGAGUAUUUGUUAAAGAUUUAUCGGUUGUAGAUGGGCAUGCGUUCCAUUAGUUGGUUGGUGAGGUAACGGCUCACCAAGACGUCGAUGGAUAGGGGAACUGAGAGGUUUGUCCCCCACACUGGAACUGAGACACGGACCAG
rnacentral:rRNA from 1 species